rnacentral:misc_RNA from 1 species
GAUGAAGAACGUAGCGAAAUGCGAUAAGUAGUGUGAAUUGCAGAAUUCAGUGAAUCAUCGAAUCUUUGAACGCACAUUGCGCCCCUUGGUAUUCCAUGGGGCAUGCCUGUUCGAGCGUCAUUUGUACCCUCAAGCUUUGCUUGGUGUUGGGUGUUUGUCCCGCGUUGCGCGUGGACUCGCCUUAAAGCGAUUGGCAGCCGGCAUAUUGGCCUUGGAGCGCAGCACAUUUUGCGCUUCUAGUCAUGAAUGUUGGCGUCCAUUAAGCCUAUACAUUUGCUCUUGACCUCGGAUCAGGUAGGGAUACCCGCUGAACUUAAGCAUAUCAAUAAGCCGGAGGA